GGCGUGGGGCCAAAUGGUUAGCGUGUUGGACUCCGGAUCGAUCGGUCCAGGUUCGAGCCCUGGCCAGGGUCA